rnacentral:rRNA from 1 species
UACGGGGGGGGCUAGCGUUGCUCGGAAUUACUGGGCGUAAAGCGCACGUAGGCGGCUUUCUAAGUCGGGGGUGAAAUCCUGGAGCUCAACUCCAGAACUGCCUUCGAUACUGGAAAGCUCGAGUCCGAGAGGUGAGUGGAACUGCGAGUGUAGAGGUGAAAUUCGUAGAUAUUCGCAAGAACACCAGUGGCGAAGGCGGCUCACUGGCCCGGUACUGACGCUGAGGUGCGAAAGCGUGGGGAGCAAACAGG